ACCACAGCCGUAAAAGCUGUCGUUUGCCAUUUCACCACGUGGUGGUGCCAUGGCUCCACUUUCCACUUCUGGUCCUUUUGACGGGCGUCCUGAAAACUAUUUCAUUUUGCUGACGGCUUAGAGGGAAUAUUUGUUGUUGCUCUGAUGAGUUUUUCAUCCUCUGUUAUAAUCUUUGAUUCAGAGAGACAGUGACACAAUGAGGAGCGUGGAGAGGGAAUUGCGUUUCUAAACUCUCACCCUCCCCACAGGUUUGGGGGAUACAUUUUGGGUAGAGUUAAAAAAGAUGGUUCCAAAGCGUCAACAAAAGACCAGGGUUAGUGACAACCAAGUCAGGAGGGGUGGACACACACCUCUGCGUCGUGUAGAGUCAUUUUUCUGUCUUUCCUCUAGGCCCUAACACAGAGCUUACACAUCAGUGUAAGGAAGAGACCGAAUAUGACUUGAUUACCUCCCGUGUGCCAAACACUUAGGUCAUCUCAUUGAAUCCUCACCAUAACUCCCUAUUUCAUGUCUCUCAAGAGGGCAAAUGCCAGGCCUGAGGAAAAAUGAGACUCGGAGAGAGCUCUCCAAACAGCACACUCUUUCUGCGUACAGCAUCAACACUCUUCAUCCACUGACCAAACACUGAUAACAAAGCAGCUUUGCAAGCGAUUCUGUUUGAGACAAACUGAUGCUACUUGGGCUUCUGCCUACAUUCAGAAAGGAAAAUAUUGAGCCCCCGGCUGUCAAGCAGCGGACACGACACAGUGAUUCACUUCUUCUACCAAGGGCAGAGCAGAUUAAAAAAUAAAUGAGAGGAAGGGAAAUGUAGUACUUUCUAAUGAAUGGGCAAACACAGUCCCAUCAGCAGCUAAAGUCAAUGAAGCACAAUAGAAGGUGUUUGAGUGAGCCAGAGUGAAGCCCAGAGCCCUGCAUCUCCUUCGUCCCCCGCCCCCCACUCCUGAGGACCCUCCUGUCCCUUCUCCAGAAUUCUGCCCCAACAGACACUGGAGGGACAUCCUGCUGGAGCCAUAUGGGAUAAGCAAAAUAGAUGAUUUCCAAGCUGUCUGCGUCCAUCCCUUAUGUCUAAUACAGGUGCAGGCAGGCUGGGGCUCCAGAUUAACUGAGGUACAAACAGAACUUUCAAAGGCUUAAAUUUAGGAAUUAUCAAUACAUGGUGUCAUUAGGGGGACAGUUAAAAGCAGGCCUGAUAUGGUAGGAGGGAAUCUUGUCUGAGCAAAUCAUGAGACGCUGUAGACUGUUGAGCUCAGGCCAGUCCCCCAGGAGCAUCCACGUGGUCCUGCUUGGGCAGGCAGCCUGUUUUAUUUCAAAGGCCUGCUGGGCUCUUUUGCCUCACCUGUCUUCCAUAAGCCUCCCAUAUAUCCAGCUGGCCACCUGAUCCCACUCUGGGCAGAUCUGAGGUUGUGCCAUGCCCUUUCUGGACAUCAGCCUGUGUUAUUCACAUCCCUCUUCUCUGCCUUACUCCACACUCUCAGGACUCCAAAUCUGCCUACGCAGGGCAAAAAGGGGAAAACUCAGCUAACCGGUGACCAGUCUGGGUGCAGCUGAGGAACUGUUUGAUCAAUUCACUUAAUAGUAAAGUGUGUAUGUCAAGGUUAUUUAACUGCAGCUUGAAGGGUUGCAUUGCUUGGCCUCUCCAUGAUCACUCAUGAGCUGGGCUGUUGCUUCCACGUAUUGGUCAACAGCCAAGUCCAGAUACCUUAGCACCCCGUGGACCCAGCAUGCGUGUCCCACACACCAGUGACACACUCCCUCACUCUCAAGCUCCCUCAGCCAAAGGCUGGUGAGUGCCCGCUCUGUGCCCAGCAGUUUUGGAGGCACCAGAGAUCACCGUGGUGGGCAUGACUAGGAGGCCUCUGCUCUCACAGAGCUUGUGUUCCAGUGAGCAGGACAAAGAGUAAGCAAACAAACACAAAUCAGAUGGUGAUAAGAGCCAGGAUAAAAGCAGAGAAGUGUGCCAUGCCUGAACGUAAGAGGGGCUUGGCUGAGAGUGGAUGGGAUCUGUCUCCAACCAUAGCAUCCUUGCCUGGAUGGACUCAGGGCUGGUAGCAUCCUUGCCUGGAUGGACUCAGGGCUGGUUUCUGUAGGAGGAAACCAGGGAACAGGCAUCAGGGAAAAUGGAGGAUGUCAUUGCUUCUCAGUGAUGCUCAUGCUGGGGAAAGAGCUGGAGAACAACCUGUAAUCUUUACUCAGCACAUCAAAGCUCUGCAGCCACAUGGUCCCAGUUGUCUGCAAGUCAUGCUCUCAGAUGCUGGCAUCCAGUGGCCCCGCAGCCCUGGUCCCCCGAGCAUCCUCCCAUGGGAUGGCCAGGACUCCCUGCCUGGGCUGCUAACAUCCUACAAAGUGGGAAAGCAUCAGGGAUUGUCACUUACUGGCCCAGGUGGACAGCAGCACCAAAAUCCUGUCCCCAGCACCCAUUCUUCCCCUCAGGUUUCCUACGUGGGUGUCCACGUUCCCCCUUGCAGGGGAUGGUUCUUGAUGAAGGCAAAGUCACCACACUUCACUAACCCUUCUGCAGGCGAUAUCAAGGGUGACAUUGAAUGACGCUAGCAAAGGAGGAUUUUAUGAAACUUCUGACUCUGAAAAUGGAAUCAUUCAUAAAAGAUUUAGCAACUCCAGAGACCAGAACACCCAGUCUUCUCAGUUGAUUAAUGAGGAAAUGGAGACACAGAGAUGCUGUGGAGCUGGUGAGUGGCACAGCUAAGACUUGAAAUCUCCCAGUCUGCUGUCCAGCCAAGCAGGACCACCAAGGAAUAUUCCCUCCAGGAGAAUAAUAAAGGUGGAAUAAAGAAGCAAGACAAACGGGCAACUGUGGAAAAAACACCCCAUUCAAAGUCCUGCUGUUUCCCUCGGGCACAAGCUUAUGUAUCACCUGUGUGCGAAAAAAAAACAUCUGACUUGGUAAAGAUAUGAGAGCAUCUGCUGCUCCAAGUGGCUUCUGAAUUUCCCCACAGACCCUGUGAUGUCCCAGCCUAGGGAGUCUAUUUUUCAUGGGAAGCUGCAGUAAACAUUUCUUUUAAAAAUUCUGGUAAUAACCCUAUCCAAUGCUACAAGUGUUGAAAAGA